rnacentral:lncRNA from 1 species
CAAAGACUACCCUGGCUAAGAUUUUGUUAAAUUGAAACAUGACUGUACACAGCUCCUAAACUGGAGUGGUUAAUCCCAUCUUGACACACGCACCGACAAGUCAAGUACUUGACUACACCCAGCAGCCUUCCGUCACUGAAUUAAAAAUUCAGGUAGUCCAGUGCCUAAGUGCAGUGAGUUGCUUGCAGGUCACUGUGGCGGUCUCAGGUCGGAGGGACAUUUAUACCCAUAUUCCAUUGGAGCAAAUCUUGACAACAGAAAUAGCUCCAGAGUCGGUCACGUUCAGUGCAGAUGUACCCUUACAUCUCACCUGUA